CAGCCGCCACGGUAAUACGUAGGGUGCGAGCGUUAAUCGGAAUUACUGGGCGUAAAGCGUGCGCAGGCGGUUGUGUAAGACUGGUGUGAAAUCCCCGGGCUUAACCUGGGAACUGCGCUUGUGACUGCACAGCUAGAGUAUGGCAGAGGGGGGUGGAAUUCCACGUGUAGCAGUGAAAUGCGUAGAGAUGUGGAGGAACACCGAUGGCGGAGGCAGCCCCCUGGGCCAAUACUGACGCUCAUGCACGAAAGCGUGGGGAGCAAACAGGAUUAGAUACCCCGGUAGUCCCUGUCUCUUAUAC
rnacentral:rRNA from 1 species